rnacentral:rRNA from 1 species
UAGGGAAUCUUCGGCAAUGGGGGGAACCCUGACCGAGCAACGCCGCGUGAGUGAAGAAGGUUUUCGGAUCGUAAAGCUCUGUUGUUAAGGAAGAACGAGUGUGAGAAUGGAAAGUUCAUGCUGUGACGGUACUUAACCAGAAAGGGACGGCUAACUACGUGCCAGCAGCCGCGGUAAUACGUAGGUGGCAAGCGUUGUCCGGAUUUAUUGGGCGUAAAGCGAGCGCAGGCGGUCAAUUAAGUCUGAUGGGAAAGCCCCCGGCUCAACCGGGGAGGGUCAUUGGAAACUGGUUGACUUGAGUGCAGAAGAGGAGAGUGGAAUUCCAUGUGUAGCGGUGAAAUGCGUAGAUAUAUGGAGGAACACCAGUGGCGAAGGCGACUCUCUGGUCUGUAACUGACGCUGAGGCUCGAAAGCGUGGGUAGCAAACAGG